AUCGCUCUUUGUAAAUAUAAAAUAAGGAGUCGUACCUGCCCGGUGAAAAAUUUAACGGCCGCAGUACCCUGACUGUGCAAAGGUAGCAUAAUCAUUUGCCUUUUAAUUGAAGGCUGGAAUGAAUGGUUUGACGAAAUUCUUCUGUCUCUAUCUUAUUAAAUAGAAUUUAAUUUUUAGGUGAAGAAGCCUGAAUGAAGUCAAAAGACGAAAAGACCCUGUCGAACUUUAGAGUAAUUAUAAAAUUAUAUGCUUUUUAGAAUAAAUGUUUUUUAGAAUUUCUCUUUUGUUGGGGUGACAGAAGAACAGAUAAAGCUUCUUUUAGUUGAGGAAACUUAUAUGUUGAAAAGAUCCAUAAAAAUUUAUGAUAGUAAGAUAAGUUACCGCAGGGAUAACAGCGUUAUUUUUCUGGAGAGUUCAAAUUGAAGGAAAAGAUUGCGACCUCGAUGUUGGAUUGGAAUACCUAAUAGGCGAAGAAGCUUGUUGUUGGGGGUCUGUUCGACCUUUAAAUUUCCACAUG
rnacentral:rRNA from 1 species